AAUGAACAUAUUAUUUAUAAAUACACUAUUUAUUGAAUGAUUUAUGUAAAAAUAAAUAAUAUGUAAAGUUUACAUACGGCAGUGUUAUAUAGUAAAACUUUGCUAUGUUUUGAAAAAAAAAUUUGUCAAAGUCACUUUAGAAAACAUACCAAAUAGCAAAUUUAAGGUAGCAAAUUCAAAGGUUUUUCAAAAAGUCUUUGAGAUUUGUUUAAAAAAAAAAUUAAAUUAAACAAAUUAAGCCAUUAAUAUAAAAAUUUUCAACAUUUGUAUAUUGCAUAGUUACAGUAUAUGCCUUCAGCUUGAUAAAACAUUUUACAAGUCCAAAAAAAAGUAAGCGUUAACAUAUCUCAAACUUAGUUCAGAACAUAGCUCAGAAAUUCAGUCUGAAUUUCAGUUUAAAAUUUCAUUUCUCAAAUUUCUUAAAUGCAGGGCAUUUAAGAAAUUGGAGAGCAUGUCAUAUUUUCCUUUGUGUGUGAAAUCAUAUUUUAAAUGGAUGAAUAAAUAUUGAUUUUAAGAUAUUUUCACUUUUAGUACAGAAUUAAAACUGAUAUGUAAAUAUUUUUUACAAAAAUACAAUAAAAAAAAACAAAUGAAGUUCCUGUGUAUGUUUACUCCAAAUGCAAGUGUAUAUUCAAUCUAAAUCAAGCCACGCUACUGCAUAUGACAUUUUAGAAGAGUUUUGUAAUUUUAUUUCAACAAAUCUUUUCACUAAAAACGAUGCCAAAAAACUGCUUUGAUUACAAAAUACACGCUACCAUUAAACCAUGCAUCCCAUCUUCAAACCAGCUGUAAACCAUUUACGGAAGCCCCAUGUCAAUCCCAGUAAUAACCCAGAUUUUAUUUAAGUUAUAUAUUAUAAAUUAUUAUUAUACACAUUAUUAAGUUAUAUAUUAUUAUAUAUAGUAUUAAGUAUUAACUACCUAGCCUAUCACUGGUAAGUUUGUGUAGGAUUAUUUGAAUAUUAAAUAUAAGCAUGUAUAUCUUGGGUUACCUUAUAUUAUAAUUGAUCUUCGCUCCUUUUAUCAGCUACGGAUAGUUAUUUUAAAAGCUAGUACUUUUUAAUCUGUAAAUAGAUUUAAUACCAAUUUCAAAUUCGUCAAUUGCAAUAUUUAUUUUUUGUUACUUUUUUUACCUCUAGCAACAUCUUCAUCUACAAUGAGUGCUGUAGUUUCAUCCUCAACUGCAUUAUGUGUUCCAUCUAUAUCUGCUAUAAUUGGCAUGUUUACAAACUUUUACUUUUCAAUAUGUUAAUACAUUUCUUGGCAUUUCUUCACAAUAUUUAUUUUUAUUUCAACUUUGUUAACCUUUAGUUAUAUCUUUAGCUGCUACAAUUGGUAAGUUUAUAAACUAUUAUUUUUUAAUAUGUGUAUGCAUAAUUUGUGUAAAAGUAUUGUUUCUAAUAUGUCUAUGCCUAUCUUAUCGACUGCAAAUAAAUUGUAGUUUUAUUUUAAAAAAAUUUUUAACUUUAAUCCCACGACCACAACAAUCUGCACAACCUUCUGCUGGUAAAUUUAUGAUUUAGAAAUGUUUCUGAAUGAUUAUUUAAUUCGUAAAUUUUUAUUUAUGUUCACUAAUUAAUACAUUUGUAUUAUGUUAUUCUUCAAAGUGCAGUAAAAGUAAAAUCCAGAGCAGUAUUUAAUUUUUUACUUUAAUUAACAUUUUUCAAGCUACCAUUGGUUUAUUAUUAUUACAAAUAAUUGGUUUAUAUUAAAUGUUAUGUAAUGCCAUUCAAUACGAAUUUAGUAACAAUUUAUUGUCAUUUAGAGCUUACCUAUCGUGCCUAUAGGAGAUAUAGGAACCAGCACCCUGGAACGAUUAGCAAUCGGUCAUUUUUGUGAUGGGCCCGUUUAGGAGGGAAUGAUGGUAAAUCAUUCAGCUAGGCCUAUCAUCCUCCUAAUAGGGUUGCUGGGAGCUAGCAUUGACAGGAUUUAUGGGUCCAAAAAAUAGUGGAGUUAUGUUUUCGGAUGCACUGAAAAAAGUGUAAUGUUGGAGAAAACUGGGGGGUGGGGGAGAGGGUGUUGUGCGGUGCACACAUCCCAGCCAUUAAGUCAAUAUAUACAACACUUUUAAAUGCUGUAAAGUAAGACAAUACAAUUAAAACUUUUUAACACAUAAUAUAAUCAGUGUUUUUUAGGUUAAAGUAUUUAUAAGAAUGGAACAUUUCACUACGAGGGUGUUAAAACGUAACAAAGACAUCGACCCUUUAUUCUAAAAUAGACCACUAAUAUUUGGAAAGGGAAUGGAAGCAAAUUGGAACAACUUUUUGUGUAUAAAGAUCCUUCGAAUUGGAUUGUCUGUAAUUCAAAAUUAAGCUUUGAUAAAGUCAGUGAUAAAUCUUAAAGUUUUUCAAAGAUUAAUAUAAUACUCCACAAUACUCUACCUAGUCAGUUCAGCAAGAAAAAAAGAGCAUUUUCCCUUUCAAAGGACGAGGUUUAAUACUGUUUACACGAUUCCUAGAGCAAAAAAGAACUUUAAAAUGAUGUUGGCAAUGACCUAAAGCCCGCACCUGAUCUAAAUGAAGAUGAAUGACGUCAAGUGUUCGUACAGUCGAUUCUCGGAAAAUAACAAGUGGAUGAAGAAGUUUAAAAAAAUUAUAAUUUAUACAACUUAGCACAAGCGAUGAGAAAGAGUUCUUUAGAAAUGCGCAGGAGAUGAGAGCAGAAGAGGUGGAUUCAGUACUUUUUUUGCCUGGAAAUUUUCUCGAUAGUCAAAAAAAUUUAAAAAGUAAAGUUAAUAUCAUCUUAGACUACAUUAGUAAGUAACUAUAUUAUAUUCUAUGUCUGAUAAAAGUUAUAAUAAAUAAUUUAUACUUGACUGAUUAUGUCAGUUAAUAGUUUUUUAUUGCAUCUUAAGUUUCAUUUUAAUUAUCUCUUGCUGCUACUUCUUCUUC
rnacentral:misc_RNA from 1 species